rnacentral:rRNA from 1 species
GACGAACGCUGGCGGCGUGCUUAACACAUGCAAGUCGAACGGAAAGGCCCUGCUUUUGUGGGGUGCUCGAGUGGCGAACGGGUGAGUAACACGUGAGUAACCUGCCCUUGACUUUGGGAUAACUUCAGGAAACUGGGGCUAAUACCGGAUAGGCGCUCCUGCUGCAUGGUGGGGGUUGGAAAGUUUCGGCGGUUGGGGAUGGACUCGCGGCUUAUCAGCUUGUUGGUGGGGUAGUGGCUUACCAAGGCUUUGACGGGUAGCCGGCCUGAGAGGGUGACCGGCCACAUUGGGACUGAGAUACGGCCCAGACUCCUACGGGAGGCAGCAGUGGGGAAUAUUGCACAAUGGGCGGAAGCCUGAUGCAGCAACGCCGCGUGCUGGAUGACGGCCUUCGGGUUGUAAACCGCUUUCGCCUGUGACGAAGCGUGAGUGACGGUAAUGGGUAAAGAAGCACCGGCUAACUACGUG